rnacentral:tRNA from 1 species
AAAUAAGUAAGCUAAACAAGCUCUUAGGUUCAUACCCUAAAUAUAGAAACUAUAGAAUUUCUCUUAUUUA